rnacentral:rRNA from 1 species
AAUAGAUACCCCGGUAGUCCACGCCGUAAACGAUGUCGACUUGGAGGUUGUGCCCUUGAGGCGUGGCUUCCGGAGCUAACGCGUUAAGUCGACCGCCUGGGGAGUACGGCCGCAAGGUUAAAACUCAAAUGAAUUGACGGGGGCCCGCACAAGCGGUGGAGCAUGUGGUUUAAUUCGAUGCAACGCGAAGAACCUUACCUACUCUUGACAUCCACGGAAUUUAGCAGAGAUGCUUUAGUGCCUUCGGGAACCGUGAGACAGGUGCUGCAUGGCUGUCGUCAGCUCGUGUUGUGAAAUGUUGGGUUAAGUCCCGCAACGAGCGCAACCCUUAUCCUUUGUUGCCAGCGGUUAGGCCGGGAACUCAAAGGAGACUGCCAGUGAUAAACUGGAGGAAGGUGGGGAUGACGUCAAGUCAUCAUGGCCCUUACGAGUAGGGCUACACACGUGCUACAAUGGCAUAUACAAAGAGAAGCGACCUCGCGAGAGCAAGCGGACCUCAUAAAGUAUGUCGUAGUCCGGAUUGGAGUCUGC